rnacentral:rRNA from 1 species
AGUGAACGCUGGCGGUAGGCCUAACACAUGCAAGUCGAACGGCAGCACAGUAAGAGCUUGCUCUUACGGGUGGCGAGUGGCGGACGGGUGAGGAAUACAUCGGAAUCUACUUUUUCGUGGGGGAUAACGUAGGGAAACUUACGCUAAUACCGCAUACGACCUACGGGUGAAAGCAGGGGAUCUUCGGACCUUGCGCGAUUGAAUGAGCCGAUGUCGGAUUAGCUAGUUGGCGGGGUAAAGGCCCACCAAGGCGACGAUCCGUAGCUGGUCUGAGAGGAUGAUCGGCCACACGGGAACUGAGACACGGUCCAGACUACUACGGGAGGCAGCAGUGGGGAAUAUUGGACAAUGGGGGCAAGCCUGAUCCAGCCAUACCGCGUGGGUGAAGAAGGCGUUCGGGUUGUAAAGCCCUUUUGUUGGGAAAGAAAAGCAGCAGGUUAAUACCCCGCUGUUCUGACGGUACCCAAAGAAUAAGCACCGGCUAACUUCGUG